rnacentral:rRNA from 1 species
GACGAACGCUGGCGGCGUGCUUAACACAUGCAAGUCGAGCGGUAAGGCCCUUUCGGGGGUACGACGAGCGGCGAACGGGUGAGUAACACGUGGGUGACCUGCCCUCAGCUCUGGGGAUAAGCCUGGGAAACUGGGUCUAAUACCGGAUAUGACUCCAUGACGCAUGUUGUGGGGUGGAAAGCCUUGUGCGGCUGAGGAUGGGCCCGCGGCCUAUCAGCUUGUUGGUGGGGUGAUGGCCUACCAAGGCGACGACGGGUAGCCGGCCUGAGAGGGCGACCGGCCACACUGGGACUGAGACACGGCCCAGACUCCUACGGGAGGCAGCAGUGGGGAAUCUUGCGCAAUGGGCGAAAGCCUGACGCAGCGACGCCGCGUGAGGGAUGACGGCCU